GAUGAACGCUGGCGGCGUGCCUAAUACAUGCAAGUCGAGCGAACAGACGAGGUGCUUGCUCCUCUGACGUUAGCGGCGGACGGGUGAGUAACACGUGGAUAACCUACCUAUAAGACUGGGAUGACUUCGGGAAACCGGAGCUAAUACCGGAUAAUAUAUUGAACCGCAUGGUUCAAUAGUGAAAGACGGUUUUGCUGUCACUUAUAGAUGGAUCCGCGCCGCAUUAGCUAGUUGGUAAGGUAACGGCUUACCAAGGCAACGAUGCGUAGCCGACCUGAGAGGGUGAUCGGCCACACUGGAACUGAGACACGGUCCAGACUCCUACGGGAGGCAGCAGUAGGGAAUCUUCCGCAAUGGGCGAAAGCCUGACGGAGCAACGCCGCGUGAGUGAUGAAGGUCUUCGGAUCGUAAAACUCUGUUAUUAGGGAAGAACAAAUGUGUAAGUAACUAUGCACGUCUUGACGGUACCUAAUCAGAAAGCCACGGCUAACUACGUG
rnacentral:rRNA from 1 species